GGACGAACGCUGGCGGCGUGCCUAAUACAUGCAAGUCGAGCGAACAGAAGGGAGCUUGCUCCCGGAUGUUAGCGGCGGACGGGUGAGUAACACGUGGGUAACCUGCCUGUAAGACUGGGAUAACUCCGGGAAACCGGAGCUAAUACCGGAUAGUUCCUUGAACCGCAUGGUUCAAGGAUGAAAGACGGUUUCGGCUGUCACUUACAGAUGGACCCGCGGCGCAUUAGCUAGUUGGUGGGGUAAUGGCUCACCAAGGCGACGAUGCGUAGCCGACCUGAGAGGGUGAUCGGCCACACUGGGACUGAGACACGGCCCAGACUCCUACGGGAGGCAGCAGUAGGGAAUCUUCCGCAAUGGACGAAAGUCUGACGGAGCAACGCCGCGUGAGUGAUGAAGGUUUUCGGAUCGUAAAGCUCUGUUGUUAGGGAAGAACAAGUGCGAGAGUAACUGCUCGCACCUUGACGGUACCUAACCAGAAAGCCACGGCUAACUACGUGCCAGCAGCCGCGGUAAUACGUAGGUGGCAAGCGUUGUCCGGAAUUAUUGGGCGUAAAGGGCUCGCAGGCGGUUUCUUAAGUCUGAUGUGAAAGCCCCCGGCUCAACCGGGGAGGGUCAUUGGAAACUGGGAAACUUGAGUGCAGAAGAGGAGAGUGGAAUUCCACGUGUAGCGGUGAAAUGCGUAGAGAUGUGGAGGAACACCAGUGGCGAAGGCGACUCUCUGGUCUGUAACUGACGCUGAGGAGCGAAAGCGUGGGGAGCGAACAGGAUUAGAUACCCUGGUAGUCCACGCCGUAAACGAUGAGUGCUAAGUGUUAGGGGGUUUCCGCCCCUUAGUGCUGCAGCUAACGCAUUAAGCACUCCGCCUGGGGAGUACGGUCGCAAGACUGAAACUCAAAGGAAUUGACGGGGGCCCGCACAAGCGGUGGAGCAUGUGGUUUAAUUCGAAGCAACGCGAAGAACCUUACCAGGUCUUGACAUCCUCUGACAACCCUAGAGAUAGGGCUUUCCCUUCGGGGACAGAGUGACAGGUGGUGCAUGGUUGUCGUCAGCUCGUGUCGUGAGAUGUUGGGUUAAGUCCCGCAACGAGCGCAACCCUUGAUCUUAGUUGCCAGCAUUUAGUUGGGCACUCUAAGGUGACUGCCGGUGACAAACCGGAGGAAGGUGGGGAUGACGUCAAAUCAUCAUGCCCCUUAUGACCUGGGCUACACACGUGCUACAAUGGACAGAACAAAGGGCUGCGAGACCGCAAGGUUUAGCCAAUCCCAUAAAUCUGUUCUCAGUUCGGAUCGCAGUCUGCAACUCGACUGCGUGAAGCUGGAAUCGCUAGUAAUCGCGGAUCAGCAUGCCCGCGGUGAAUACGUUCCC
rnacentral:rRNA from 1 species